GGUUCUACAGAUAAGAAUACCCAGGCAUUUGGGAGCCCUGCCUGCCCUGGGAGUCGGGGUCCUCGCUUCCCCUCCCCCUGGGCUGCGGGUCUCGGAGGCCCCGUGUCCGCGGGGGCGGAGGGGGGGGGGUGAUGCUGAGGCAGCGGGACUGCAUUGGGGCCAACGCGGCGCCCUCUGCCGCAGUCUCCCCCCCCACCCCACCCCCCGCCUCAUUCUCGUCCGCUCUGGCCUCCAAGAAGCCUUGGACACCCUCUCUCCCUGCCUCAGGUUGGAGGAAUUUUCCAGCCUCCCUUCUCCUUCCUCCGGAAAAGAUUGGGACUUUUUUCUCUAUUCACUAUUAUUAUUUUUUAUUAUCUAUCAAAGUAAUAUUUUCCUCGCCCGCCCGCUCUAAAGCCAUACUGAGCUGGAGGCCUGGGAACCAAGGGGACAACACCCUCUCCCCCGCCCCCCACCCGCCCCAUUAACGUCUCUCAGUCCCGAACUUUACAGGCCGCCCCCUGACGUCAGGAAGGGCCCUGCCAAUGGAGAGGGGCGGCCUGGACCCUAGGAGAGGGGAAGUGGGGGAGGGUCCUCGUGCACAAAGGCCGCGCUCGGGGGAGGGGUUUAUGUACACGUUCCCUAGAGGAGGGAGGGAGCCCACUCGGACCCAAGCCAGGGCCUAAUUCCAACUCGAUUCUUCCUUUAAAUUCCCCAGGCCAGUUAGCCCCCAAAUCAUCCUGGAUCUCUGGCUGAUUAAUGCUGAUAGCAACCCCAGCCCCUGCUGUAUUUUAAGGAUUUUGUCAGAAGCAGCAGAUUGCUAACAGUUAUUUGGUUAUAUGGUCAUCUUAACGAAGUCCAGCAAAAUUCCAGAGCUAUAAAGUCAUCACAAACAAGUUCCAGAUGAUUGCUGACAGAUUUUCCAAAUAUGCUAAAAAAGGGUCUACAACAAGGGUCUACUUGCAUCAGUUUCUGAAAGCAAUAUACUCUGCCUCUUCAAAAGGAACUCAACAAUUUCCUGUGCAUUAUACAGAAUUAUAGACAACAUUUAUGUGGGCUGCUGCUGAUCUUCAUCCUUCCCUCUUAAAUUUCAGAUAAAGUUUGUAUAUAUUUACAUUAGGUGACAUCUGGCUGUGGACCUAGAGGUUUCACUGAGGCUUUCCCUCUUGUUAUUGUUGUUCAUCCUUUAUUCUCCAAGAGGACUAGUGCAUCAUAAGGGUGAUGGUUUUUAAUGAGGCAGAGCUAUAGAAAGUCAUCCACCUCAUUUUCUCCUCCAGAAUUAUUGGAAUCCAGGGGCAAGACAAAAAUUUAGAUAAGUGGUGAUGGCCCAGGAUGUAGUGGGUGAUCUUGGCCUUUUUAAAUUAAGAUCUUUCCCAGGUCUCAAUUUGUCUGCAACAAUGUCCACUCAAUGACUAAGGGUUACACAAGAAUUGAGACAAAACAUGGCCUGUUCAUCAUCACCAAAAUAUCAGUCAGAGAGGGGAAAACCAUCAAAGUUUCUGGCCAGAACAGAAAGCAAUUGCUAUUUACUCUUACUCUAAAUUAUCAAAAUUCAAACAAUAAGCAACAGAAGCUUGGGCUUGCUUCUACUAUUAGCCAUUCAAUGAAAGCCAGAGUGAUUUGGGUUUAAAGGCAUAGCAAAAUAGCUCCAUUUGAACCUCCAUCUAUUUAAAAGCCUAUUUUUUCAGAGCUACAUUUCAAGAAAUCACAAAUGAAAACUGCAGGGCAAAUUGUAAUUAUUUCCAGUUUUUUGAAAAAUGAACAAAUAGGAAAUUUAAGAAAUCCAAUUUCCAAACUCCAAGAUAGCUUAGAAAAUAUAAGCAACCAAAAAUUAUAUUUUGUUGGACAGAACACCCACAUGUAUAGUAUUGAUGAGAGCAAAACCAGACAGCCCUGUAAAAUUAUGUAAAAUCACCAACAAAAAGUUAUACAAACUUAAAAGGGACUUACAUUCUCUGAAACCAGGAAGAACUUCCAGAGAAUGACUCCUUUCAUAUACAAACUUAGAUGGUCCCACAUCCUCUGGAGCCAGGAAGAGGAAUAUCCAGAGAAUAUGCCCUUUCAUAUACAAACUUAAGUGGUCUUGCCUAUUCUGUUCUAUUGUUCUAUCUCUGUAUAAAGUAGGCCUUCAGAAAAUGUCUCUUUGCAAGAAUCACUUCUCUCGAGAAUAAUUGCCCACCAAGAGCAUUAUCUUGGUGUCUUUUUUAUCACAGCCUUUUGAGUAAGCCAAUUUCCUUUGCUAUGAGCUCACCCCGUACCUUGGUGCCUUGGAGAACGAGAACCUCACACACAUCCCUACUACACGACCCUACCCUCAUCAGUAUGACAUCCUAAGUAGAGAAAGAGACCAUGUGUAAUGGGAAAAAAAGGAGAAGGAGAAGGAAGAGAAGGAGGAAGAGGAGGAGGAGAAGAAAAAGAAAUAAGGAGAAGAAAAGAAGAAAGGAGAAAAACAAGAAAUAAUAAGAAGAAAUAUUCUCCAUCCUCAACAACUACUCACAGAUUAUUGUUUGUCCUUCUUUGUUCAUAAAAAGAACCAAUGACAAAUGACAUUACUCAUGAGAAUGAUGUCUUGUAUGUAUAUGAAUUGGAAUUAAGUGAGGCAGAACUACAAAAAGUAUCAGUCUCACUCUUUCCUCCAAAGUCAUUGGAGUGGGUGGCAAGACAGAAUCAAGACAAUUGGUGAUGAUCUAUCUCUCUUAGGUUCUCUCAUCAUUUUGUCUGAUUUUGAUAACUUACAGUAUCUCCAGAAAUGCUCUUGCCUAUGCAGUCCAAGUCUCCUAGCUAAAUGGCAUACUUGGUUCAUUUCCAGAGGAAAUGUCGAUUUGGGGUCUAUGAUAUCUGUCGAUAGACAUGGGCACAGCCUCAGCCUUCCUUGCAAAUUAGAUGUAUUUCUCAAUUUAAUUGGUACAUUCUGUUUUUUUGUAGAAAUGUCUCCUACAAAGGCAUUAAUUAUUUUAAAAGGUGGGAAACCCUUAGAAAACAGCUUCUACCUUUUAAAGUAAUUUUUCAUAAUCAGAGAGAGGACAUUGUCAAUUUCCCCAUAGUCAGGUAGGACUAGGAAAAUUUCCAGAGUUGUCUCAUCUGCCUUAACAUUAAAAUUUUAA